UAUGUGUCGUUUUAAUUUAGACCAACCUAACUCAUAAGAAAAUGGGUUAUUAAGAAAAAAAAAACUUUAAGUAGUUUUUUGUUUUUAGAGAACUUUAAAAAAAACUUUAAUUAAAUUAGUUAAAGUGAAGUCAAUUAAAAUUAAGUUAAAUUAGUCGUGAUUUUCCAAGAUUUGUAACGUAGACCAACCGACAAUGACUAAUUCGUGGCACCAGUUUCCAUAUUAACGUCUCCAAUGAUGUCUAUGUUCUACUCGACGGACUCUACGGACAGUCUGUUGUGUUCAAACGGUUCUACCUUAGAUUGUACACCAUGUGUCUGGAACUUAUCGGCUUUACCUGCCAGCAUUAUAGACACAGUACCAGUUUCGGAAGAUCCGAGGACGGAAAUGUUAAGAAGAUACUCAUACGGCGUGGCUCUUCCAUCGAUAUGUCUGUUUGGAAUUGUCGGAAAUAUCUUCAAUCUUAUUGUACUGACGAGAAGAAAUAUGAGGGGGACUGCUUAUAUUUACAUGAGAGGAUGGGCUGAACAAGUAAAAGGAAAUCAAUUUGACCAAAUUGAGUUCCGGGAUACCGUGCAAUGUAGGGAAGCGGAACUUCUAUUAACCUCAACGAAAGCGAAGGCAGUCUCACUGCUUUUUUGGACAGGGGAACAAUAGCGAACUUAAACUGGAGUCCUAACAGAUCAUUGUAAACUCAACCGUCAACUAUAUCUUUUAGGUAUGUCUGAAAGCCUCUGUGUCCUAGAUGAAGCCUACCAAGGAGCCUUUUUAUAGGAAAAUUCUACAGGAAGAAAGGUUGCCUAGGUAGGGUUAUAGAGGACGGUCAACAAUGACGACGAAGGCUACCAGGGUUUGCGGAAAGGGACUUUGAAGUUUUCGUGCUGGACUUUGGUCACCCAAGUUACUACAAGUACUUGUAUUUUACAGUCUUAACACUAAUAUUUCUUGUCAAAGUUGCAAUCUAUAUAUACUCAUUUUAGGGAAAUAUUUAUGAAAAUCUAAUUUUUUACUUCAAAAUUAAAAAAAUGUUUUCAUCCUU